rnacentral:rRNA from 1 species
GACGUAGGGCGCGAGCGUUGUCCGGAAUUAUUGGGCGUAAAGAGCUCGUAGGCGGUUUGUCGCGUCGACUGUGAAAACCUACAGCUUAACUGUGGGCUUGCAGUCGAUACGGGCAGACUUGAGUUCGGUAGGGGAGACUGGAAUUCCUGGUGUAGCGGUGAAAUGCGCAGAUAUCAGGAGGAACACCGGCGGCGAAGGCGGGUCUCUGGGCCGAUACUGACGCUGAGGAGCGAAAGCGUGGGGAGCGAACAGG